AGAGUUUGAUCCUGGCUCAGAACGAACGCUGGCGGCGUGCCUAACACAUGCAAGUCGAACGAGAAAGGGGCUUCGGCUCCGAGUAAAGUGGCGCACGGGUGAGUAACACGUGGGUAACCCGCCUCUAAGAUUGGGAUAACUCGUCGAGAGAUGAGCUAAUACCGAAUAAGACCACAGUUCCCGCGGGAACAGGGGUCAAAGGUAGCCUCUGCUUGCAAGCUAUCACUUAGAGAUGGGCCUGCGCACCAUUAGCUAGUUGGUAGGGUAACGGCCUACCAAGGCAAAGAUGGUUAGCUGGUCUGAGAGGAUGAUCAGCCACACUGGAACUGAGACACGGUCCAGACUCCUACGGGAGGCAGCAGUGGGGAAUAUUGCGCAAUGGCCGAAAGCCUGACGCAGCAACGCCGCGUGAGUGAUGAAGGCCUUCGGGUCGUAAAGCUCUGUCGGGAGGAACGAAUGCUCCUGAGGUUAACAGCCUCGGGAGGUGACGUACCUCCAAAGAAGGCCCCGU
rnacentral:rRNA from 1 species